UAGCAUGCACCUCCACCUUCAUCCUGUUCUUCUGACUGUGGCGGCUUGGAGUAGGUAGUUAGGUAAGGGAGGGAUAUCAAACUGCGCGCCAUGGGUUUCCCUUUACGCUUCUUAUCAUCAUUGUCGUUGUGCCUCUUGGCCCUCCUCCUCCACCGGGCCACGGUGACAAGUGGGUGUUUCAGCAUGGAGAGGGAGGCACUGUUGGACUUCAAAGCUGGUGUCCGAGACACCCGCAACCGGCUAUCUUCUUGGACGGGCCACCACUGUUGCACAUGGAAGGGAGUGACCUGCGACACCACCACUGGCCACGUCGUCAUGCUGGACCUCCGAAACACAAAUUUUACAGAUGAUCGGGCAUUACGCGGAUCCGCAUGCCGGAAUUCAUCGGCUCCUUCAAGAAACUGAGAUACCUCAAUCUAUCUUUUACAUAUUUCAUGGGAGGAAUACCUGCUCGGCUGGGGAACCUUUCGAGCCUCUACGUUCUUGAUCUAAACGAUGCUUUAGAUUUUGCAUACCAUGUUGACAACCUCGACUGGCUCUCCCAUCUUACCUCCCUGAAGAACCUGGACUUGAGCUGGUUGAAGCUAACCGGUGCCCCAGAUUGGUUCUCAUCCGUGAACACGCUGCCAUCCCUCCAAGUGUUAAGUAUGUCUUAUGUUGGUCUCGAUACCAUCCCAGCAUCUGUUGUCCACGUCAACUUCACCUCCUCUCUUACCGUCCUUGAUCUCUCCUUGAAUAAUUUCGACUCCACCUUACCCAAAUGGUUGUGGAAUAUUAGUGGUCUUACCCAUCUUGAUCUUCAUGAAUCUGGGUUCUAUGGGGUUAUUCCUGAUGCAAUUGGAGACUUGGGCAGACUGAAAGAAUUAUAUAUGUCGGACAACCAAUUGACAGGAAAUUUGAGCGGUUGGCUGGAGCAAAUGACGAAUCUCAUCAUUUUGGAUCUCAGCUAUAAUUUAUUCAACGGUUCCAUGCCUUCCUCCUCCGUUGGUAAGUUGUCUAAUCUCACUGAAUUGUAUCUCGAUGGAAAUUGUCUGGGAGGUGUCAUUUCAGAAGUUCAUUUUGAGAAUCUUACGAGAUUGCAAGUAUUAGACUUGUAUGACAACUCCAUCACCAUAUCAAUUGGCCAAAGUUGGGUCCCCCCUUUCCAACUCAGAUUAGUAGGUUUAGCCAAAUGUCAGUUGGGACCUCAAUUUCCAGAAUGGUUGCAGUUUCAAACACAGAUCGAAGAAUUAUAUUUGGCAGACUGUAAAAUUGCAGGGACAAUGCCCGCUUGGUUUUGGAAUAUUUCAUCUUCUACCAUCAUAUUUUUAGACCUUUCCAACAACCAAAUAGGAGGCAAGCUGCCAUCUUCUUUAAAGUUCACCAAGUUGGAAAGAUUACAGUUGGAUUCCAACAGAUUUGAAGGUCCAUUGCCAACGAUGCUACCGUCUACACUCGAUACUCUAUUCCUCUCCAAUAAUUCCUUUACAGGGCAAUUGCCGAUAUGGCCCCAUGUUUACUCAGUGGCACUCUCUGAUAACAUGCUUGAUGGUGGCUUAUCUUCAUCAAUCUGCCAAUGGACAUUUCUCGUAUACCUUGACCUUUCGAACAACAAAUUACUUGGUGAGAUCCCUUAUUGUCUGGGAAAAUCAUUACAAAUCCUUAAAUUCUUGAUUUUGGACAACAAUCACAUCUCGGGUGAAAUUCCACACACGAUCGGUUUUUUAAGUGAGCUUCAGCUAUUGCAAUUGAAAAAUAACAGUUUUUCGGGUGAGGUUCCUUUGUCAUUGAAAAAUUGUACAAAGUUACAGUUUCUUGAUCUGGCUCAAAAUAAUCUUGUUGGAAGUAUAAUGCUAUGGAUGGGAGAAAAUCUACGACAACUGGUAGUACUUCGUCUACGUUCAAAUAUGUUUUCUGGAGUUAUUCCUUGGCAACUUGCUCGAUUUGAACAGCUUCAAAUAUUGGAUCUUGCUAAUAACAAUUUCUCUGGAUCAAUACCUCACAACAUUGGUAAUUUAAAUACCAUGAGAUCGACAACACUUUAUAAUGAAUCUUGUGAUUAUGAAUCAGAUGUCUUUACAAAGGGACAAGAUCUUUAUUAUUUACAAUGCAGCAUGCGACGUAUGAAAAGUUUAGAUUUUUCAAACAAUCAUCUAACCGGAGAGAUACCAAAAGGAAUUGGAGACCUUGCAGGACUCAAGAACUUAAAUUUGUCAAGAAAUCAUUUACAAGGGAAAAUCCCUUGGGAGAUAGAAGGAAUGAAAUCAUUAGAAUCUCUUGAUCUAUCGAUAAAUGAUCUUUCUGGUAGCAUUCCUGAGAGCUUAUCGGCUUUAUAUUCUUUGAGCUAUUUGAAUUUGUCAUAUAAUAAUCUUUCGGGAAGGAUACCAACUGGUUAUCAACUCCAAACACUCAAUGAUCCAUCCAUUUACAUGGGCAAUGCCGACUUAUGUGGACCACCAACUUUCAAAAGUUGUUUUAAUAAUAAAACAACUCAAAAUGAUAUACAAGAGUACAAGAAGGAGAUUCCCGAGUGGCUAUGGUUUUAUAUCAGCAUGGUACUAGGAUAUGUGAUGGGAUUUUGGACCUUUUGUGGUAUACUCUUCCUGAAAGAUGCAUGGAGGCAUGCUUAUUUUCGUACGAUUGAUGAUAUAUAUGAUCGGUUCUGGGUGCAAUGGCAUUUAAUCUUUUGACGAUUGUUUAAACUUUAAUCCUAAAAUUUCUAGUGUGGAUGAUCCAAGGCUGUACCGUAGAUGGGGACAAGAUGCCUGCGAGUAGAUUGAAUUUGGUUAUGUAUCAAGGCAACAAAUUAUAUUGUUUAUGGUUCAAACUUUUGAGACUUGUGAUGUAAUAAUUCAUUAGUGGGAUGUCUUUGGUGAACUUAUUUGUGUUUGAGAGUUCAAUAUAUCGCUGCCGUAUAUUAUGGACGUAUCUGUUUUGUAUUGUGUCAAGUGCAUGUAUUUGGAUUUAAGUUGCGUACAAGUUUAAGCCUUGCAAUUCUCAUAUGAAAACUUAUGGA